CAUUCAUAAACAUUGUCUAAAAGAAAUACUGUUGCCCGUAGCAACAAAACCCAGCACAGCUUUAAUUCUAUGAAGUAAAAGUUGGGUGCUAAUUGGUUGCUACGGGCAACAAGGCUAGUUUUCUGGACCACUAAAGCACAUGACUAAGAGCCAAAAAAUGUGCUGAGAUGCUGUGUUACAGGGAAUGCGGCUGUAUACGUCAUAUUGAGCAGAAAUGACACAAUUGUGGAGUAUUCGGCAUACAGUGACACAGGAGAUAUGCUUAGAUGCCCGGACACCCCAGAGACUGAGACAAAAUGUGUAGAAGAUGGCCCCUCCAGAGAGAACUACACCCAAGAUAGGACCCACUUGCUGGACGAGGAACACCUCCAGAUGGAAGCAACCAAUCACAAGAACGUUUUGCUCAGACUGCCAUGAAGAUUUUUUCCAGCCAAAACUCAUCUCAUCAGAAUCUGCAGCUAGGUAGGUGGACAAACAUGAAGGAAAUUGCUUGGCUGACUUUGAUGUCAUUUAUGACAAAUGCUGGAAGAGCAUCAUUCUGUAUUCCCCACUGAAAUUCUUCAUCCUGUCUGAGAGCUCUUUACUGAAUCAUGAGCACAGUGCUCUCUGCUGACAUCUCUGUCCAUUUUAAGAACUGUCCAGAGUAGGAGAAAAUCCCCAUAGCAAACAUAUGCUGCUGGCCAGAGGAAGAGGUUUUUGCCGCGAAACCAGCUGUUUGCCACUUACCCGCACAGCUCCGGCUGUUGCACUCCUUUUCCUGAUCCCACCAGGCCGGCUUUUCCCAACAGGAUGAUGUUGAAAUAAAGUGAAGU